GAGCUCCUGUACGUCUCGAUACGUUCAAUAGUGACCGUCCAUCAUGAUGCUAACUAGUGGGUGAAUUGGCUAACUAGCUAAGAGUGAAUUGGCUAGCUGGCUAACUAGCUAACACUUAUUCCAUCCAUUUAAUGUCAGACUGAUAAACUUUAAAUGAUAGUUUAAAUGCUGUUCUUCUUAUAUUUAUUAUUACUGCGAGAUUAUCUUAGCGAAGGCCUUUAACAUUUACACAGGAAUGUCAACUGACCCUUUGUUUACUUUCUUCACUGACGCACAUGAAAAUAAAAAUACUGCAUCAGUCAAAGCUCAAGCUUUGUGGAGUGACAAUAUGAGAAGACGGAGAAAAACAGGAGAGAAUGGAUUGAGAUGACAGAGGAAGCGCAGAGACGAGAGGAAAAAGGAGCGAGACUGGAGGUACAUCCCGGAAAGAAUUGAAGUUGACCUGGUGACUUCUGAGAUGAGUCAGAGGCUGAGCUGCCACACAAACACAGUGCGACCAUCGUGCCAUAUCCUCAACUGUUGGCCCGGCAGGAGAGUGAUUACCUUGACCAUGGAUGCCCCCUUUUUUCGUAAGUUCUUGUUCCUUUUUGUUGAGAGAAAGAAAUGAGCGUGAGAAAAACGGCCCUUGGGUUAAGAACUGAAAUAAAAGAUUUAACAUCAUAAUGACAGACAGAAACCUCCUUACUUUCCGUUCACCUCGCUCUGA